GUUACUAAAACUCUAAGAGGAACAGAGUCAGCAUUGUUCAUUAGCUACAAAAAAACACACAGUAAGGUGUCGGUGCAAACAAUCUCAAGGUGGCUAAAGCAGGUUCUGGUAAGCGCUGGGAUUGACACUGAUAAUUUUAAAUCUCAUUCCACCAGGGCGGCAUCAACUUCAGCGGCCAGGGCGAUGGACGUUCCUAUAGAUCAUAUCCUCGCGGCCGCAGAAUGGUCCAGUGAACUGAUGUUCCAAAGAUUUUAUCAUAAGCCAAUUACAAGGAUGGGGGUAUUUGCAGAUUCUGUUUUAAGUUCAGUUAUAUAGUUUCCCCCUGGGAUAGAGGGGUUACUAUUGUUUUCUUUGUAAAAAUAAACCGUUAAUUCGUUU